AGUGAACGCUGGCGGUAGGCCUAACACAUGCAAGUCGAACGGCAGCGCAGUAAGAGCUUGCUCUUACGGGUGGCGAGUGGCGGACGGGUGAGGAAUACAUCGGAAUCUACUUUUUCGUGGGGGAUAACGUAGGGAAACUUACGCUAAUACCGCAUACGACCUACGGGUGAAAGCAGGGGAUCUUCGGACCUUGCGCGAUUGAAUGAGCCGAUGUCGGAUUAGCUAGUUGGCGGGGUAAAGGCCCACCAAGGCGACGAUCCGUAGCUGGUCUGAGAGGAUGAUCAGCCACACUGGAACUGAGACACGGUCCAGACUCCUACGGGAGGCAGCAGUGGGGAAUAUUGGACAAUGGGCGCAAGCCUGAUCCAGCCAUACCGCGGGGGUGAAGAAGGCCUUCGGGUUGUAAAGCCCUUUUGUUGGGAAAGAAAAGCAGCAGGUUAAUACCCCGCUGUUCUGACGGUACCCAAAGAAUAAGCACCGGCUAACUUCGUG
rnacentral:rRNA from 1 species